CAUGGAAUGGAAGAAUGCAGCACAGCCCCUGCUGGUUUUGAGGUGCAGAAGAGUGUUAUCAACUACAGCAGCUGAGGCACGGGACAGAAAGGACUAGCAGGGGGAAAAAAUCAACCCAAACUCACAAAGUUGGUGCGAGGUUUUCAUGGGAUGAUGUUGAGUCUUCCUGGAGCCUGCCUCUUCAUCAGCUAAAAAGCACCAGACAGCAUAUGCCAAUGACAUAGCCCAGCCGGGAGCCGGGAGCCCAGAAUGCGAACAUGGAAAGAUACUUUUCCUGGAACCAGGCCCGGCCCGGGAGAGCGUCGCGUCACCACAUCGAUCGUGCAAA